CCCACUCUCUGCUGGAUCCCUGCCGAGUGAAAGAAAUCUUUGGUUUUGCCUUUGCUGACUGCUGAUCUGAUCGUCUCAAGUCUGGACUUGGAUGAGAACAAGAUUUAUGCCAAUCCCGAGGUAACUGCAGCGCUCCAAACCAUGAGACAAGCCAGCGUUGAGGAAAUGAUGCCUCUUCUUCAGAGUCUCACCUCCAAGGCUCCUUUGUUGCAGACAGUCUUCAUUUGGACGGCUACACCAUGUUCAAACGCAACAGACAUGUGUCCUACACAAACUUUCCUCACAUGGCCAGCAGAAGUGGUGGUGGAGUUGUUGUGUAUUUGAGGAAUCAUUUUCAGGUUCAGGUAAAACAGUAUCUGCAUAAUGUCACUGAUCUUGAGUUCUUAGUGUUGAAGGUUCAGGCUCCAUUCCCUGCGCCAUUGCGGUUGUGUACAGACCUCCAGACUACAGUUUGGCACCGUUCAUGCAAAACCUGGUAAGUCUUUUAGAUUCACUUGAAAUAAUGGACUGUCACCCAAUCAUUGUGUGUGGAGAUUUUAAUGAGAACCAGUUACAGAGUGGAAGAAAACAGAUUCUGGAGCAGUUUCAGUCUAGAGGGUAUUCACAGCUGAUCACUUCUGCCACUACAGACAAGAACACCCUGCUUGACCUCAUUUUUGUUUCUCAGCCACAGCAGAAUCUUCAUUCAGGUGUCCUGAGGACAUAUUACAGUUACCACAACCCUGUGUUUUGUGUCCUGUCCUCCAGCCAAUCAUGAAGUUGUCUGACAGGGCACACACAGUCCUGUUUCCUUUGUGGGAAAACCUUCAAACUUCACCAUCCUCAGCUGAAACAACAACAUCUUAACACCAUCUUCAUGAACUGCUGAGCCAAACCUGAUCCAUCAGUGCUGGACUGCACAGAUAACUACAUGCCACAAGGAGACUGCUGUUUUAUGAACUGCCAUACCAGUGUGUCUUCAAUGGAGAAGAUGACACACCCAUCACCUGACCUCCUGCCUGAUCUGGAGACCAUCAUCAUGCUGCCACACUACACACCUCUGAGACCAUCAAUGAUGACUCAUACUGAGGAAACUGUAUUUGCUGUCAGAAAUGCUCAGUGAUCCUCAGAGCAGAGAGAGGUAUUGCUGUCUUCUGAGUUCUUCAGUGUCCCAACUGAGACAUUCAAACCUCAUCACAGAGCUCCUGUCUUUCCUCACCAUCAUGUGAGUGUGAGAUUGCUCUGGAUUCUGGUUAUGUGGCCUGCAGCACCUAUAAGAACAAGCUCGUCCUGUGUGCCUGCAUUCCAGCUUCUUAGACUCUACGCAAGUGGACAGAGUAUCAGUGUUUGGCCACCCUUACAGACACCGACUUCUGUCAACUCACUGCUACUGAUCAGGCACCUCACUCCAGGAAGACAGAGGGCUGCAAGCCUGUCAUCGCUU
ensembl:lncRNA